rnacentral:rRNA from 1 species
UAAGGAAUAUUGGUCAAUGGACGCAAGUCUGAACCAGCCAUGCCGCGUGAAGGAUGAAGGUCCUCUGGAUUGUAAACUCCUUUUAUCUGGGACGAAAACGGGAUUUUUAUCUCAAUUGACGGUACCAGAGGAAUAAGCACCGGCUAACUCCGUGCCAGCAGCCGCGGUAAUACGGAGGGUGCGAGCGUUAUCCGGAUUUACUGGGUUUAAAGGGUGCGUAGGUGGGCAGAUAAGUCAGUGGUGAAAUCUUCCGGCUUAACCGGGAAACUGCCGUUGAUACUAUUUGUCUUGAAUAUUGCGGAGGUAAGCGGAAUAUGUCAUGUAGCGGUGAAAUGCUUAGAUAUGACAUAGAACACCAAUUGCGAAGGCAGCUUACUACACAAUCAUUGACACUGAGGCACGAAAGCGUGGGUAGCGAACA